rnacentral:rRNA from 1 species
UACGGGGGGGGCAAGCGUUGUUCGGAAUUACUGGGCGUAAAGGGCUCGUAGGCGGAUCGUUAAGUCGGGGGUGAAAUCCUGGAGCUCAACUCCAGAACUGCCUUCGAUACUGGCGAUCUUGAGUCCGGAAGAGGUGAGUGGAACUCCUAGUGUAGAGGUGGAAUUCGUAGAUAUUCGCAAGAACACCAGUGGCGAAGGCGGCUCACUGGCCCGAUACUGACGCUGAGGUGCGAAAGCGUGGGGAGCAAACAGG